rnacentral:rRNA from 1 species
UACGGGGGGGGCAAGCGUUGUUCGGAAUUACUGGGCGUAAAGGGCUCGUAGGCGGCCAACUAAGUCGGAUGUGAAAUCCCCAGGCUUAACCUGGGAACUGCAUCCGAUACUGGAUGGCUUGAAUCCGGGAGAGGGAUGCAGAAUUCCAGGUGUAGCGGUGAAAUGCGUAGAUAUCCGGAGGAACACCGGUGGCGAAGGCGGCUUCCUGGACCGACACUGACGCUGAGGCGCGAAAGCUAGGGGAGCAAACGGG